UACGUAGGGUGCGAGCGUUAAUCGGAAUUACUGGGCGUAAAGCGUGCGCAGGCGGUUCGUUGUGUCUGUGGUGAAAGCCCCGGGCUUAACCUGGGAAUGGCCAUGGAAACUGGCGAGCUGGAGUGUGGCAGAGGGGGGUGGAAUUCCGCGUGUAGCAGUGAAAUGCGUAGAGAUGCGGAGGAACACCGAUGGCGAAGGCAGCCUCCUGGGCCCAUACUGACGCUCAGGCACGAAAGCGUGGGGAGCAAACAGG
rnacentral:rRNA from 1 species